UUCAAAUAAAACGGGGAACAAAAAUUGGAACUGAUGAAGGAACUCGAUGGAAAGCAAGACUUUCAAGAGCAUACUUUAGACACUUUUGAAGUAUUUGAAGAAUUCUCAAACCUUGAUUCUGAUGAUUCAAAAUACAGUCUGAAAGCUUGAGGAAGAAAAUAUUGAAUUUGCUAAAAAAGCGAAACUUGAUGCCAUGAACUUCACUUACUUCGAUGGCCAGGAUCAACUGAGUGAAGAUGGUGGUGAUGGUGAUGAUGGUGAUUUUGAUUCUUCGGGCGAUGAAGAUUACGGAGACGAUGGAACAUCCAAUGAAAACAGUCUGUGCAGCAGCAUGUCCAACUGCCCAGUUUUGUUCACGACUUAAAACACAUUUGAUUACUGUAGCGUUUAAAGAUGAAAUUGAAAACCGUGCUCGUCGGGAAAAGCGCCUUUGAACAUAUUUAUGGAAAAGGUGCUAUAGAAGUUUAAUACAUUAUUAUUAUUUAUUAUUAUUCUUUGUGCCCUCCCCCCCCCUGGUGUUAAGGUAAUACUCUGGAGGGGGUCGGGCCUGUCUGUCUAAAAUCAUAUCUCGAACAAGUCAGUCGAAAUACAAUCAGCGUCACAGUCUCCAUACUAGUGUCAUCUUUAUUCUUUACAUCUUAAAUUCGGUAAGGUAUAUUAAGACACGAUUCCUUCCGAACAUGGUCCUUCGAAACCUUCUUUUGAACCGGUAUAUUUUGUGAAUCUGAUUGAAACAAGAACGCUCGAGAACGCCUUUCGGCAAAGCGUUCAUUUCACAAGUUUCAAUCAUCCCCUUGAAAGCUCUUUAAAAAUGGUUUUAUCAGUUAAGCAAUGGUACCUAAUCAAAGAAUGUGUGGAGAAAAACCCAUUGUCCAGGGUGGCUACGUUAUGGAACAUUCGAAUGCACGCUAAAAGUUUAAAUCAACAGCAAUCGGUCGAUAGAGAAAUGUUGAGUGAACUGAAUUUAUCAUCCUCUCCAACUUAUGGAUUCUCUUCAGACAUUAUUCACAACCCAGAUCUCUACGAAGAAGUAAGUUCUAUUCUUACUUUAAACACAAAAUUAAAAUAUUUAAUACCCUAACAUCACCUAACUCAGGUACAUGACCUGAGCUUGACCGACCCAGGAUAGGAUGACAACUUUGGACCAACCAACCCAAGGUUGAACAAGAUCUACAGACAGAGAAUUUUGGAUCCCUCCAUGCCGGAAGAAUAUAGAAGAAAAAUGGAUGUGUUGAGCUCUAUUCACCCAAGAUUGAUCACUGUGGAAGAAAUCGCUCCACAAGUGAUCAAUGGAGUCCUUCACUAUGAGAAAGCUUACAAUGUCUCAAUAACUAAAGAAGAAUUUGCUAUCGAAAUCGAAUUUGUCAACGUAAAGGGGAUUCAAUCUUGGAAACUGAUCCAAGAAAUGCCACAAGCAAAUAAAAGGAGACGCCUACAAACCAUCUAAAGCGAAAACAGCCCAACAUUGAAGCACCAAAAAUUGUUCCCAUUCGAUUGUAAAUCAAAUUAAAAAACUGUAUGUACUUACAUCUCAUGUAUAUAGUUUUAGGAUGCAGUAAACUCGUAGAAAUUACAAACCUUUUUACCGCAUAACUUAUUUUGACAAUAUUUUGCUAACUCUUCACAGACAUCACUUUGAAAUACAUUCAACAUGGAUCAUCACAAAAUAAAUUUCUACCUUUGUCAAUUGUAAGUAUUUUAGUAACCUAACAUGCUUAAAGGAAGCUAAAUUUAGAUUAAAUUUUAAGGUUUGGACACCUCCACCAAUCUAUAACCACCCCAGUGUGCCCUGGUAAGUAAAACUUAAAUCUAAUGAGAAAAAAUAAUUUCAUAACCCAAUGUUUUAAUUCUAUUUAGAAUUGGGAGAGGAGGAAUUAGUUGAUGAUAGAUCUGUCGAUUUUGAUUACCCUGAUGGAGCUGAUAUGGAGUACGAGGGAGACCAACCCCAAUUUGAUGACUUUGACAUAAUUGGUAACUAAAAUUGUUAUAGCUUUAAUUUAAAAAACUAAUUCAUACCUUUACAGAUGAAAACGAAGAAAUGGAGGAGACUGGGGAGAGUGGUAGUGAUGAUUCAGGCGAAGAACCUGCUGAAAGUUCAUCAGGUAAGAAUGAUGAGGGUAGCCUAAGCGAAAAGAGAAAGUUUUAAUUAAUUCAAUUUCAAUUUUAGAGAACGAAGGGCAGCCUGAAGCAAAACGCAUG